CAUGCUCCAAGGCUCAGAUCAGUCUGAUGGCCUAGGGAUGUGAGGCAUUUGCUGCUACUGCUCGUGCGAUCUUGAGCUCUUGUGGAUCUGCAACCCCUCAGGUACUCAGGAAGGGAGGCCGAGCUGCCUGGUUCUUCUGGAGCCUGCAGAAGAGCAUAAGCACAUCUGCCAGGCCUGGAUCAGAAACCUGUAGCAUCAAAAGGAAAAACGCUGUCCCUGCUGGCCCAGCCCAGUCCUUUUCCCAGGAGAGGCUUCUGAACAGUCCGCUGCCCAGACUUGGCAUUCCCAGAGCAGCUCCAUUGCAAGCUUCCCCAAACAGUACUGCCUGACCCUGCGCCUGUUCCACCGAAGCCCAGGCUGACAGAAGCAGGACAUAUGGACGGCUCAAACAUACCUACACAGAGGAGAUACUGCAUUCCUCCAGUGCCUCUCAGAAUCCCUCACCCGUCUCCCUAGGCUGGAAGUUCUUUCAAGUGUCUAACCUCCAUCCCUCCUGCUAAGAAUCCAAGUU